AGGAGGAACAACCCCACUGGCGGGGCCAGCUCUGGAGCCCUGGAUUCAGCCCCCCCAGUAACUCCAGAGCUCUCCGUCUGCAGGGUCUGGAGGCUCCGGGGCGGG
rfam:Canis lupus familiaris chromosome 22, whole genome shotgun sequence.